rnacentral:rRNA from 1 species
UACUCGAGGUCCAAGUCACAGCCAUUAUUAUUGGGUCUAAAACAUCCGUAGCUUGCUUAGUAAGUUUCCUGUGAAAUCCGGCUUCUUAAGAGUCGGGCGCGCAGGAAGUACUGCAAAGCUAGAGACUGGAAGACGUAAGAAGUACGAUUAAAGUAGCGGUAAAAUGCAUUGAUCUUAAUCGGACUCACAAUAGCGAAGGCAUCUUACGAGGACAGUGCUGACAGUAAGGGAUGAAGGAUAGGGACGCAAAACGG